rnacentral:tRNA from 1 species
GGGAGAGCAUCGUUCCCGGUGGGGCGUCCGGACUUCAAAUCCGGGAAGGGUCGCGAGACGGUUCUUGGUGGGUUCGACUCCCAUUCUCUUCCGCCA